UUUGGGUUGCCGCGGGGUGGGGAAGCGCCGAGCCCCACGGGGUGGCCGAGCUCGGGUUCAGGAGCCGAGGAGCAGGGCGCGGAGGUCCGGCGCGGGGCUGCUGCGGGGGCCGGACGGCCGCGGAGCUUGCAAGCCGGUGGUACAGAUUUCGCUGCACGGGAGGUGGUACUCGUUUUGGAUUGCAACUGUUGCAGGAGAAAAGCCAGCAGCAGACAGCAGGAGACAGGCCCGGCAGACCCGUGCCAGCGGUGAGCAGCUGCUGCAGGACCCGCGGCGGCCGCGGGGUUAUUGGCCGAAUCCUGAACUUCUCCCGCUGGCCAUAAAGCAAAACUUCUUACCUA